UGUGCGCGAGUCAUUGGGAUUUUUACUAAACCUAAAGGCGCAAUGAAAGUGAAGGUCCGCCUUGCGCGGACCGAGGGAGGAUGGACCGUUCCGAGGGACGGCCUCGCACUCCCGGGGCGUCUCGCUCUCAUCGCGAGAAGAGGCGCACCCAGAGCGUACACGCUGGGACCCGAAAGAUGGUGAACUAUGCCUGGUCAGGACGAAGUCAGGGGAAACCCUGAUGGAGGUCCGUAGCGAUUCUGACGUGCAAAUCGAUCGUCGGAACUGGGUAUAGGGGCGAAAGACUAAUCGAACCAUCUAGUAGCUGGUUCCCUCCGAAGUUUCCCUCAGGAUAGCUGGCGCUCGCUUCUCGCGAGUCUCAUUCGGUAAAGCGAAUGAUUAGAGGCAUUGGGGUCGAAACGGCCUCAACCUAUUCUCAAACUUUAAAUGGGUGAGAUCUCCGGCUUGCUUGAACUGUGAAGCCGCGAGAUAUCGGAUCAGAGUGCCAAGUGGGCCACUUUUGGUAAGCAGAACUGGCGCUGUGGGAUGAACCAAACGCAGAGUUAAAGCGCCUAAAUCGACGCUUAUGGGAUACCAUGAAAGGCGUUGGUAACUUAAGACAGCAGGACGGUGGCCAUGGAAGUCGGA
rnacentral:rRNA from 1 species